AGAAGGUGUAAACUAUCUGUCUUUAACCGUCACACUUACCAAACUUUUGCUGAUUACCUCAAAAAGAAGGUGUAAACUAUCUGUCUUUAACCGUCACACUUACCAAACUUUUGCUGAUUACCCCAAAAAGAAGGUGUAAACUUACCAAACUUUUGCUGAUUUCCUCAAAAAGAAGGUAUAAUCUAUCUGUCUUUUACCUUCACACUUACCAAACUUUUGCUGAUUGCCUCAAAAAGAAGGUGUAAUCUAUCUGUCUUUUACCUUCACACUUACCAAACUUUUACAGGUUACCUCAAUAAGAGUAGGUGUAAACUAUGUCUUUUCCCUUCACACUUACCAGACCUUUACAGAUUACCUCAAUAUGAAAAGGUGUAAACUAUGUCUUUUCCCUUCACACUUACCAGACCUUUACAGAUUACCUCAGUAAUAGAAGGUGUAAACUAUGUCUUUUUCCUUCACACUUACCAAACUUACAGAUUACCUCAGUAAGAGAUUCAGACAUGAUCUUCCUAUCUAAAGAUCGUACCCAUAUAUUGCUGCUUUUCUAGAGCAAACUAGGUUUAAGUAUGGUUUCAAUAUCUCUCUGACGAGAAAAAGGAGGGGGGGGGGGUGAGGAAUGGAAAAUAAAUCAUAACAAUAUUUGUCCUAAAUGCAAAAACUCAGAAAACAUCCUCAUAUUACUUACUCAAUAUUAAACAUUGUGUAAACUAUUUUCUAAAAAGAAUACCAAUAUCGUAAUCUGGGCAGCUCUUACAGAGUUUGAAUUAAAAAUAGGCCAAGAAAGAUUGGUUCAACAAUAUCAGACAGGCAGCUGACAGAUAUCUGUCCCAGUUAUGAUCCACACAAACUUUUGCCAAUUGUAGGUAAUAGAUUCUUCUUAGACAAUCAAAUUGAUAGUGCUCUUUAAACAGAGGGGUUAAGGCUGAUUUAUCUACAUUUCAUCAGUUCAAAUUAAUGGAUAUUUCUACCCAGUAAAACUAUGCCAUGCUAUGAUCGAUGCAUUAGGAUGGCAUGAAAAGAUAAACUUUUGGGUGAUUUCAGCUGAAGGUUGUUUUAAACAGGAUGAGGGGGUCAAACUAGAAGCAGUUGGUACUAUUUUUUUAAAUGGAAAUCUAUUUAAAGUCACCUGUAUGAAAAACUUAAGGCAGAUAUUUAAAAAAAAAAAAAAAAAGGCUUGUGAAAUAAUGUUUUCAACCUACACAUUGGAACAACAACUAAUUUUACUAUUUGGAGCUCUUCACCAUAGUGUUGCAUCAUACCAGUAAAAUUAUAUCUAGACAAGACAUAUCACUGUAUCCACAGUUUAUAUUUAGAUUGACACACUGACAUAUGUUCAUGUACAUGCUUAGUGACAUAUGGAAGGUUUUUGUUAUAAGAUAGCCAGCUUUAGUUCAAACAAUAACGGAGCAAUCCCGUGAUGUCCUUUCUAUAAACAAACUAUAGCCAGCUUUAGCUCAAACAAUAACCUAGCAGUCCUGUGAUAUCCUUUUUAUAAACAAUCUAUUUUAAAAAGUCAAUGGCCUUCAUUUCUAUUUGCAUGGUCUAAAAAGAUUAUUUUGAAUUGAUGUUCUAUUCCCUGUGUCAUUGACAUCAUACAUGUAUUACCAAAAAAGUUGUCAACAUUUAAAUUAUGGAAAUAAAGCAUUGGGCAACAAAUUCUUUAACAUCUGAGUGAUUUAAUGUUUGUGUUUACUGUUUUAUAUGCAAAGUGCAUACUUUGUGCUAACUAGAAUUACCAAAUAUGGUUUUAGGGUGGUCAUGCUUCAGUAUCCGUCGGUCCCUGUGGUUACUUGACGUCAGAAGGCCCUGCUUGUAUGUCAUCAUCAUACAUUUCUCUAAAGAAUUUAAAUUUACUUCUUGCAGAGCAUAACAUUCUGAAUUUAAGUUAUGAAUAUAGAAGUAUAGAUUAACCACAAAGGUUGGAGAGCAC
rnacentral:lncRNA from 1 species